GCAGUGGUGGUUCAGUGGCAGAAUUCUUGCUUUCCAUGCAGGAGACCCAGGUUCAGUUCCCACCAGUGCG
rnacentral:tRNA from 1 species